UACAGAGGGGGCAAGCGUUAUUCGGAAUUAUUGGGCGUAAAGGGCGCGUAGGCGGCCGGACAAGUGGAAGGUGAAAUCCCCGAGCUCAACUCGGGAACUGCCCUCCAAACUGUUUGGCUUGAGUCCGGGGAGAGGUGAGUGGAAUUCCCAGUGUAGCGGUGAAAUGCGUAGAUAUUGGGAGGAACACCAGUGGCGAAGGCGGCUCACUGGACCGGAACUGACGCUGAGGCGCGAAAGCGUGGGGAGCAAACAGG
rnacentral:rRNA from 1 species